GACGAACGCUGGCGGCGUGCUUAACACAUGCAAGUCGAACGGAAAGGCCCUGCUUUUGUGGGGUGCUCGAGUGGCGAACGGGUGAGUAACACGUGAGUAACCUGCCCUUGACUUUGGGAUAACUUCAGGAAACUGGGGCUAAUACCGGAUAGGAGCUCCUGCUGCAUGGUGGGGGUUGGAAAGUUUCGGCGGUUGGGGAUGGACUCGCGGCUUAUCAGCUUGUUGGUGGGGUAGUGGCUUACCAAGGCUUUGACGGGUAGCCGGCCUGAGAGGGUGACCGGCCACAUUGGGCCUGAGGUACGGCCCAGACUCCUACGGGGGGCAGCGGUGGGGAAUAUUGCACAAUGGGCGGAAGCCUGAUGCAGCAACGCCGCGUGCGGGAUGACGGCCUUCGGGUUGUAAACCGCUUUCGCCUGUGACGAAGCGUGAGUGACGGUAAUGGGUAAAGAAGCACCGGCUAACUACGUG
rnacentral:rRNA from 1 species